CUCUUUCUUUGCUCUUCUUUCUUUUCCUCUUUCCUUGUUCUUGAAUCGGCAGCACCAUCUCAUACCAACAGCCCUCAUUUUCUCUCUCACCAAAUCUCUAUCUCUCUCUCUCUAAGAAGAAAUCAAACUCUUACUAAAGUCUUAGCUUCAAUUGUGGGCGACGAGAAUGAGAACAUGGACACUUGAGCUCCUCUUAUACAAAUCUCUCACAUCUUCUGUUUUCAAGUUCUUUCCUGGAAGCAGCGAGAGUAUUAGAGGUGUAGCUGCUACAAUAGUAUUGAAGGGUCUUGAAGUUCUUCUUUUCAUCUUUGGCAUCUCCCUUGGAGCAAAGCAAUGUAGCAACUAGAAUUUGAGGCACGGUAUUUAGGAAGUUGCAGAGCUUAGAAGAGACAAACAAGUGAAAAAUGUCAAGUAUUUUCUCUUGUCUUGCUUCACUUGAAUGCAUGUUGCAUGCCAAGUGUUUGGUAAAUUACCUCUAUAAGGAUGGUGACGAUGCGGGUGAUCAUUCUCCUACUAUGCAAAAUCAAUCAUCAAGCUUGUGAUUUUAUUUUUUUUAGUUUGCAACUGUGAUAUAACAUUCUAGACAAUUGGAAUCUCUUGUAUUAGGCAUAACAAUUAUUAUAGCUAAAAAUUGUAUUAUUGUAUAAUA